GUGGAGGACAUGGAUUGGACUGUGUAGAGCCAGAAGGGAAAGGAGGGGUGUGGAAAACAGCCUGUGUGUGCGUGGAGAGACAGACAAGCAGGAGUGAGGACUCUGGUGCUGCACUAGUUUUGAGCUUGCUUUUCACUUAUCGGUUGCUUGUUUUUUAGAGUUGGCAACACUGCCUGCAGGGAUUAAGUUCACUUUUGCAGCCAGUAACAAAAUGUAGACGGAUUGUACUGGUCUGCAAGCCGGAGAUUCAUUGUUCCAGCUAAAGUAUAUACAAACACUAAGGAGAAGGUGACGGCUGCGGGCAUCUCGGAACACAGCGAUAUUUAUUCCUCUUCCCUGGCUUCUUUCAUCUGGCCCCCAACGCUCUACAGGCAACUCUGGAGCUGCGGUCGCCUGAUCCAUCAACAACAGUCUUUUUGGAGUCAUUUACUAAUGAUCGCUGGAUUUAUUGCAUAUUUUAGAACAUCUUGUCAUCAGAGAGGCCAGCAGCUGGUUCCAUCUAUGGAGGAAGAAAAGGUCGGACAAAGCUAAUUUGGGAUUUACGAGUUACUCUAUUGAAAGUGAACAGAAGAAGUCCGAAAUUUAGAACGUUACUAUUCAAAGUGUUGAGCUGACCGGUAAAUAUGGACAUUUGAAAGGACUGGCACAUAUUGGACCUGUGGUCAGUAACACAGGAUGGUCACACAGUUCUUAUGGAAGUUGAAGAUGUUCUUUCACGCAUGGAGUCUUUGAAAUGGUUGGAGGGGGGACUUGCCCCCAGCAAGAGUCAGAGCAAAUUGUCUAUCCUGAUCCGCCGUCCCUUCUUGUGCCCCGAUCUCGUUAUCGUCUGUUCCGGGACAGCGAGAGACAACUUGUCGAGCAGUCUGUGGUUACACUUCAGGCCAGUGGCUUCUAUUGGGGACCACUUCCUACAGUUCAGGCCCACUCCAUGCUGCAGAGAGAGACAGCUGGCACCUUCCUUGUGCGUGACAGUUCUCAAGGCAACCACCUAUUUAGUGUCAGCAUCAAGAUGGAAUCUGGCCCUAUCAGUGUGCGGGUCCUGUUUAUCAAAGGAAGGUUUUGGUUGAGAGAACUUUUCUCAGAUUGCCCAGUGAAACUUCUGGAGCAGGUGGUGGAUAGGAGCGGACACAAUCCCCUGUGUUGCCAAAAUGGUAUUAAAUUAGUACUUUUUAAACCAUUGCGUAGGACACGUGUUCUCAGCUUGCAGCAGCUCUGCCGUAGAUGCAUUGUGACUGAAUAUGGGAGGGAAGGACUGUCUAGUCUCUCCAUCCAACCUGCACUUCGUAGGUUUAUUGAGGAGUUCCCCUUCAAGAUAUGACAAGCCAAUAAGAAAUCUGAAGAGUGCGAGGGUGUUAGUCACUGAAAUAUUAAAUUGAUCACGACAGAAUGAAACACGUGAUACCUUCUGAAGAAUAUUCAUACCAAAGUGAGAUUAAGUGGACACACAAGCAUUUUUGACCUUGAAAUUUAAAAACAAUAUGUAUGCUGUACACAUGCAUUAUAUUAUCCAAACAUGUCA